GAAAGCCGAGGAGCAUCCCGUUCAUUAGAGAUAAGGCAAUGUCCUUUGUAAGCUUUGUUGCUUAAGAACAAGCAACGGUCAAAGUUUGAGGGAGUAUGAUAAGUGGUUUUUAUAUCGUUUUUAUAAUUGUUUUUCCUUUAUAUUUUACCGUUUUCAUCCGUUUUCCUUUCAAUUUACCAUGUUUUACGCUUUGGUAUUGCAUUUCCUUUAUUUUCAGGUCACAAUAGGCAUUCCAAGC
rnacentral:lncRNA from 1 species